CUAAUACCCGGAUAAGAAAGCAGAUCGCAUGAUCAGCUUUUAAAAAGGCGGCGUAAAGCUGUCGCUAUGGGGAUGGCCCCGCGGUGCAUUUAGCUAGUUGGUAAGGUAAAGGGCUUACCAAGGCGAUGAUGCAUAGCCCGAGUUGAGAGACUGAUCGGGCCACAUUGGGGACUGAGACACGGGCCCAAAACUCCUACGGGGAGGCAGCAGUAGGGAAUCUUCCACAAUGGACGCAAGUCUGAUGGAGCAACGCCGCGUGAGUGAAGUAAGGUUUUCGGAUCGUAAAAGCUCUGUUGUUGGUGAAGAAGGAUAGAGGUAGUAACUGGCCUUUAUUUGACGGUAAUCAACCAGAAGUCACGGCUAACUACGUGCCAGCAGCCGCGGUAAU
rnacentral:rRNA from 1 species